UUAGUGGUGGCCUAGUUGGUUAGCGCAUGGGUUUGCAAUCACGGGGUCUGGGGUUCGAAUCCCACGCACCCCUAUU
rnacentral:tRNA from 1 species